rnacentral:rRNA from 1 species
GAUGAACGCUGGCGGCGUGCCUAAUACAUGCAAGUCGAGCGAACGGACGAGAAGCUUGCUUCUCUGAUGUUAGCGGCGGACGGGUGAGUAACACGUGGAUAACCUACCUAUAAGACUGGGAUAACUUCGGGAAACCGGAGCUGAUACCGGAUAAUAUUUUGAACCGCAUGGUUCAAAAGUGAAAGACGGUCUUGCUGUCACUUAUAGAUGGAUCCGCGCUGCAUUAGCUAGUUGGUAAGGUAACGGCUUACCAAGGCAACGAUGCAUAGCCGACCUGAGAGGGUGAUCGGCCACACUGGAACUGAGACACGGUCCAGACUCCUACGGGAGGCAGCAGUAGGGAAUCUUCCGCAAAGGGCGAAAGCCUGACGGAGCAACGCCGCGUGAGUGAUGAAGGUCUUCGGAUCGUAAAACUCUGUUAUUAGGGAAGAACAUAUGUGUAAGUAACUGUGCACAUCUUGACGGUACCUAAUCAGAAAGCCACGGCUAACUACGUG